UAAUGGCUACAUAACUUGAACCAAAGCUGUACCUCUUCCCUUGUGCUACUAGUGCUGUGACGGAUUGUUUAUGCUUUCUGUAACAGGGCCAGGACUUUGUCACUCAGCUGUUUUGGGUGGGGGAUAGAAGGCUGACCUCAUAUAAUUGCUGUGCCCUCUGGCUAUGCAUCACAUUGUGCUGUUCCCACCAACCCACACGCCACUAUGGGGUGGCUUUUGAUUACCGUGGCAAUCUGUGCACUAGCCUCCUGCUCUGUCAAAGGCAACAAGUGGUGGUGGCAGUAUGAGGAAGGAAUACGACAGUACAGCCAAGAGUCUCUCCACAAGGAGUUUCCAGAGAAAACCAGACCUGUGAACUUCACACAUCCUCCAUUUCGAUGUCCAGACAUGACUCGCUCUCCCACCAUCCCCUCCUCAGUCGAGUUGGUGAAGGCAGCGGACAUCAAAGUAAUUGCUGCCCUCGGGGAUUCUCUGACGACCGGCAUUGGCGCUAAUGCUACCAACGUCCUUGGGAUUCCUAUUGAGUUUCGUCACGUGUCAUGGAGCAUUGGAGGCCAUGGAUCUUACCAAGAUGUCAUUACUUUAGCAAAUAUCAUCCGUCUGUUUAAUCCGAAUGUCCUUGGCCCUGCUCCGGGACACACUGUACACGGAACCUCAGCCCCCCUCAGUGAGACGGGAUUCAACCUGGCUGUGACUGGACACAAUACCUUUAAUCUCCCAGGGCAGACCAGACAUCUCAUUGACACUCUAAGAACCUAUAAGGGCCUGAACUUUGAUGAGGACUGGAAGCUGCUGACCAUUCUCAUAGGCAUGAAUGACAUCUGUGACUAUUGCAAGGAUAAGGUUCUUUUUUCAGUGGAAAACUACAUUCACUACAUGAUGAACGCCUUGGAGAUGCUAAUGAAUGAGGUUCCCCGGAUGAUCGUGAACGUGGUUCAGAUCCUGCCCAUGGAGACCCUGAGGCAAGUGCAGAGGCCCACGCCGGGCUGCCUGCUACAGCGGUCGUUCUGCUCCUGUCUGAUCAAGCCUAAGGCUGGAUCGCCUGAACUGAAGGAGCUGGUGCAGAUCAACCUAGAGUUUCAGAAGCGCCUGGAGCAGCUCCUCUACAGUGACCACUUCUUCAGGGAGGACUUUGCCGUGGUUCUCCAGCCCUUCCUGAAACAUGCAGACCCUCCUCGCCUCCCGAGUGGUAAGAUUGACAUGAGCUUUUUCACCCAUGACUGCUUCCACUUCACCAUUAAGGGCCAUGAGGAGCUUGCCAAAGGGCUGUGGAACAACAUGUUUCAGCCAGAAGGAGGGAAGUUUAUGGUGUCAAGCUUUUCUGACCCAAUCCAUCUAAUUUGCCCACCCAUGGAUCAUCCUUACAUCUACACCCGACCUGCUGCUGCCAAAAAAGGCGAGUCCACAAUGCCAGUUGUACCCAAUUCCACUGCUCCGAAAUGGGCCACCCUCCUUUUGGCUCCCCUUGUGAUCCUUGGUGCUCCUCUGGCCUGGGGACUCACUGCUUUAGCCUCUCUUUAGCGCUCUCUAUAUAACACUCUAAUACACUGUAACGUGGAAUGAACAUUGAUAAAAUCCCCGGUACAGUUGUAAUGACACUGGGAGUUUUUAUUUUUUUUGUUAUUGUUGCUGCUCUUACCUGCAUUGUCGGGUAGCACAUGGUGCUUUGGCCCUGGACCACAACCAACCACUGUUUGCUGUGACUGUAAAGACAAAAAGACAAACCUGAACUGGAAUGCAGAACUAGGAGGUAUACAAACGUGAACUGGAGGACAAUGGGAUACGUGCCAUUUGGUGACAUCCAAAACACACAGAAUGACACAUGCUGCUUUCCAAAUGUAGUGCUUUUCCCUCUUCAUUAUUCAUCUAAUUCCGCCUGUUCAUCAUUCAUCUAAUUGUGAACCCCUUCUGCAGUGAGAAUCCACCCCAAACAAAUAGACCAGGUGAUAACUACAUUUAGCUCAUCCUACUGUAGGCUGUUUGCUCUGAGAGGUGAAAUCAUUUUACAUUUUGUGGUUCCUUUAGAUGUGAAAUGGCAAUAACUGCAUUAUAGAAUUCAGUGUAGGGGAUUUACAUUGCAAGUUUAUUUUUGAAAGAAUGUUGUAUCAUAGAAUUACAGAGAUAAUGUGAGGGCUCCUAUGAUCUUCUGUGGGCAUAAACACUGUUUUUACAGGUAACCUGAGAACACCUUUUCCUUAGGAAAAAAGCCUUUUACAAAAGACAGUUUGAAGCCAGUGUUUUUGACUAUGCACCAUUAAUUGAUUUUAACGCAAAAAUACUGUACUGUAAACUUUUUGUCAGAAUACUGUACUGUAAAUGGAUUCAUGAACUUGAGGAGGCUUACAGCAUAACCAUGUCUAUUGGCUUUAAGGGACAAUAAUCUGGCAAAUAUUUGCCUGGAAAUUGUUAAAUGUGUACCAUCUGAUCAAUACUUUUAAAUGUAUUGAUCAUUUAAAAGUAUUGAAAUGGAUAUAGAUAUCCUAAUGUCACUGAUAGGAGAGUGGCAUUAUUUUCUAAAAGAAAACCGACAUUUAUAAUUUGACAAAUUUAAGUUUAAUCAAGCAAGUGUGGAAGUUGAUCAAUGUCUAAAUAUUUUGAAACAAAUUCAGCACGUCACAAAGUUAAGCAGGGUACAUACAGAGGCAUUUAGAUUGUAGAUGUUCUCACUGUAGUGUUAAUUGCGUCUCCUAUUUUAGUCUUUUAUUCAGUUGCACAAGAGCCCUAAUGAAGUGGGACAACACUUAUUGACUGUGAACAUGAUGGGAGGUAAGAGGUAGCCUAAAUAUGCAUUAUUUUAUCGGGCAAAAACAAAAUAACUAAAUUGUGACUAAAAGCCUGUUUUUACUAUGCAAUAAUGCAUAUUUAGGCCAUCUCUUACUUCCAUCAUGUGUACAAUCAGACAGCCUUGUUCAAGUACAGUAGAAAUGUUGUUCGGGGUUAUAGUGGAUUGAGAAAAGAAAUCAUGACUAAAAUGAAAAAAAAGCUGCCAAAAUGUUGUACAUCAACCAGUAGGAGACAUUCUGGCAGGAAUUGUGAACCAUCACUGUUUAAUAUCACUAUACUUUAUAAUUUAGGUUGAUGGGAUGACGUUGAAAGAAUGAAGGUGAUUUAAAUGUCAUUUUACUGUCAGAAUUGAAACACCAAUAUUAAAAAUCUGAACCAUUUAUUGAAAUUUGGAUGAGAACAAUGUUUUACAUUUGUGUUAUGUUUUAAACAGCAUAUGUAUACACAGUUGAUGAUUAUGAUGAAAUGGUUUGAUGUAAGAACCUGCUAGCACGAUUAAGCAGUUGUAUUUAGUUUGAAGA